rnacentral:rRNA from 1 species
GACGAACGCUGGCGGCGUGCUUAACACAUGCAAGUCGAACGGAAAGGCCCUGCUUUUGUGGGGUGCUCGAGUGGCGAACGGGUGAGUAACACGUGAGUAACCUGCCCUUGACUUUGGGAUAACUUCAGGAAACUGGGGCUAAUACCGGAUAGGAGCUCCUGCUGCAAGGUGGGGGUUGGAAAGUUUCGGCGGUUGGGGAUGGACUCGCGGCUUAUCAGCUUGUUGGUGGGGUAGUGGCUCACCAAGGCUUUGACGGGUAGCCGGCCUGAGAGGGUGACCGGCCACAUUGGGACUGAGAUGCGGCCCAGACUCCUACGGUAGGCAACAGAGGAGAAGAGUGCACAAUGGGCGGAAGCCUGAUGCAGCAACGCCGCGUGCGGGAUGACGGCCUUCGGGUUGUAAACCGCUUUCGCCUGUGACGAAGCGUGAGUGACGGUAAUGGGUAAAGAAGCACCGGCUAACUACGUG